GAAUUUGAAGUAAAUAUUACAAUUAGUUUCGACCUAAUAUUAGGUAAUUUAUAUUACCCUUAUUCU
rnacentral:tRNA from 1 species